rnacentral:rRNA from 1 species
UACAGAGGGUGCUAGCGUUGUUCGGAAUCAUUGGGCGUAAAGGGCGUGUAGGCGGUUUGUUAAGUCAUGUGUGAAAUCCCUCGGCUCAACCGGGGAACGACGCAUGAAACUGGCAAGCUAGAGUACCAAAGAGGGGGGUUGAAUUCCCGGUGUAGCGGUGAAAUGCGUAGAUAUGCGGAGGAACACCGAUGGCGAAGGCAAUCCCCUGGGCCUGCACUGACGCUCAUGCACGAAAGCGUGGGGAGCAAACAGG